rnacentral:rRNA from 1 species
UACGGGGGGGGCAAGCGUUGUUCGGAAUUACUGGGCGUAAAGGGCUCGUAGGCGGCCAACUAGGUCAGACGUGAAAUCCCUCGGCUUAACCGGGGAACUGCAUCUGAUACUGGAUGGCUUGAGUUCGGGAGAGGGAUGCGGAAUUCCAGGUGUAGCGGUGAAAUGCGUAGAUAUCGGGAGGAACACCUAUUGCGAAGGCAGCUCGCUGGGACGUUACUGACGCUGAGACGCGAAAGCGUGGGGAGCAAACAGG